AUUGAACGCUGGCGGCAGGCCUAACACAUGCAAGUCGAGCGAGCGGCGGACGGGUGAGUACUGUCUGGGAACCUGCCUGAUGGAGGUGGAUAACUACUGGAAACGGUAGCUCAUACCGCAUACCAUCAGAUGUGCCCCGAUGGGAUUAGCUAGUAGGUUGGGUAAGGGCUCACAAAGGCGACGAUCCCUAGCUGGUCUGAGAGGAUGACCAGCCACACUGGAACUGAGACACGGUCCAGACUCCUACGGGAGGCAGCAGUGGGGAAGAUUGCACAAUGGGCGCAAGCCUGAUGCAGCCAUGCCGCGUGUGUGAAGAAGGCCUUCGGGUUGUAAAGCACUUUAAGCGGGGAGGCGUUACCAGCAGAAGAAGCACCGGCUAACUCCGUGCCAGCCGCCGCGGUAAUAC
rnacentral:rRNA from 1 species